CGAAGUCUGGUGCCAGCAGCCGCGGUAAUCCAGCUCCAAUAGCGUAUAUUAAGUUGUUGCAGUUAAAAGCUCGUAGUUGAAUUUCGGGGUUAGUAGGUUGGUCGUGCCUUUGGUAUGUACUGGUCUCACUGAUUCCUCCUUCUUGAAGAACUGUAAUGUCAUUAAUUUGGUGUUGCAGGGAAACAGGACUGUUACUUUGAAAAAAUUAGAGUGUUUAAAGCAGGCUAACGCCUGAAUACAUUAGCAUGGAAUAAUGAAAUAGGACGUUUGAUCCUAUUUUGUUGGUUUCUAGGGAUUGACGUAAUGAUUAAUAGGGAUAGUUGGGGGCAUUAGUAUUCAAUUGUCAGAGGUGAAAUUCUUGGAUUUAUUGAAGACUAACUACUGCGAAAGCAUUUGCCAAGGAUGUUUUCAUUAAUCAAGAACGAAAGUUAGGGGAUCGAAGACGAUCAGAUACCGUCGUAGUCUUAACCAUAAACUAUGCCGACUAGGGAUCGGAUGAUGUUAAUUUUUAAUGACUCAUUCGGCGCCUUACG
rnacentral:rRNA from 1 species